UACGUAGGGGGCAAGCGUUGUCCGGAAUUAUUGGGCGUAAAGCGCGCGCAGGCGGUCGUUUAAGUCUGGUGUUUAAUGCCGGGGCUCAACCCCGGUACGCACUGGAAACUGGGCGACUGGAGUGCAGAAGAGGAGAGUGGAAUUCCACGUGUAGCGGUGAAAUGCGUAGAUAUGUGGAGGAACACCAGUGGCGAAGGCGACUCUCUGGUCUGUAACUGACGCUGAGGCGCGAAAGCGUGGGGAGCAAACAGG
rnacentral:rRNA from 1 species